ACUUAGGUAGCAAAGCGGUAAAUGCGGUAGAUUUAGGAUCUAUUAUCAGGGGUUCGAUUCUCUUCCUUAGUU
rnacentral:tRNA from 1 species